rnacentral:rRNA from 1 species
UACAGAGGUCUCAACCGUUGUUCGGAUUCAUUGGGCGUAAAGGGUGCGUAGGCGGUCGCGCAAGUCGGAUGUGAAAUCUCGGGGGCUCAACCCCGAAACUGCAUUCGAUACUGCGUGGCUCGAGUACUGGAGAGGAGACUGGAAUUUACGGUGUAGCAGUGAAAUGCGUAGAGAUCGUAAGGAAGACCAGUGGCGAAGGCGAGUUUCUGGACAGUAACUGACGCUGAGGCACGAAGGCCAGGGGGAGCAAACGGG